GGGGAUUUAGCUCAGUAGCUUGAGCACCUGCCUGGCAAGCAUGAGGUUGUAAGUUUAAUCCCCG
rnacentral:tRNA from 1 species